AAAUUGAAGAGUUUGAUCAUGGCUCAGAUUGAACGCUGGCGGCAGGCCUAACACAUGCAAGUCGAACGGUAACAGGAAGCAGCUUGCUGUUUCGCUGACGAGUGGCGGACGGGUGAGUAAUGUCUGGGAAACUGCCUGAUGGAGGGGGAUAACUACUGGAAACGGUGGCUAAUACCGCAUAACGUCGCAAGACCAAAGAGGGGGACCUUCGGGCCUCUUGCCAUCAGAUGUGCCCAGAUGGGAUUAGCUUGUUGGUGAGGUAACGGCUCACCAAGGCGACGAUCCCUAGCUGGUCUGAGAGGAUGACCAGCCACACUGGAACUGAGACACGGUCCAGACUCCUACGGGAGGCAGCAGUGGGGAAUAUUGCACAAUGGGCGCAAGCCUGAUGCAGCCAUGCCGCGUGUAUGAAGAAGGCCUUCGGGUUGUAAAGUACUUUCAGCGGGGAGGAAGGUGUUGUGGUUAAUAACC
rnacentral:rRNA from 2 species